rnacentral:rRNA from 1 species
CAGUCGCCGCGGUAAUACGGAGGGUGCAAGCGUUAAUCGGAAUUACUGGGCGUAAAGCGUGCGUAGGUGGUGGUUUAAGUCCGUUGUGAAAGCCCUGGGCUCAACCUGGGAAUUGCAGUGGAUACUGGGUCACUAGAGUGUGGUAGAGGAUAGUGGAAUUUCCGGUGUAGCAGUGAAAUGCGUAGAGAUCGGAAGGAACAUCUGUGGCGAAGGCGACUAUCUGGGCCAACACUGACACUGAGGCACGAAAGCGUGGGGAGCAAACAGGAUUAGAUACCCGUGUAGUCCCUGUCUCUUAUAC